AGUGAACGCUGGCGGUAGGCCUAACACAUGCAAGUCGAACGGCAGCACAGUAAGAGCUUGCUCUUACGGGUGGCGAGUGGCGGACGGGUGAGGAAUACAUCGGAAUCUACUUUUUCGUGGGGGAUAACGUAGGGAAACUUACGCUAAUACCGCAUACGACCUACGGGUGAAAGCAGGGGAUCUUCGGACCUUGCGCGAUUGAAUGAGCCGAUGUCGGAUUAGCUAGUUGGCGGGGUAAAGGCCCACCAAGGCGACGAUCCGUAGCUGGUCUGAGAGGAUGAUCGGCCACACUGGAACUGAGACACGGUCCAGACUCCUACGGGAGGGAGCAGUGGGGAAUAUUGGACAAUGGGCGCAAGCCUGAUCCAGCCAUACCGCGUGGGUGAAGAAGGCCUUCGGGGUGUAAAGCCCUUUUGUUGGGAAAGAAAAGCAGCAGGUUAAUACCCCGCUGUUCUGACGGUACCCAAAGAAUAAGCACCGGCUAACUUCGUG
rnacentral:rRNA from 1 species